rnacentral:tRNA from 1 species
GCCGAGGUGGUGAAAUUGGUAGACACGCAGUCCUCAGGAGGCUGUGAGCUUCUGCUCGUGCGGGUUCGAAUCCCGCCCUCGGCACCA